rnacentral:rRNA from 1 species
UGGGGAAUCUUGGACAAUGGGCGCAAGCCUGAUCCAGCCAUGCCGCGUGCAGGAUGAAGGCCUUCGGGUUGUAAACUGCUUUUGUACGGAACGAAAAGACUCUGGUUAAUACCUGGGGUCCAUGACGGUACCGUAAGAAUAAGCACCGGCUAACUACGUGCCAGCAGCCGCGGUAAUACGUAGGGUGCGAGCGUUAAUCGGAAUUACUGGGCGUAAAGCGUGCGCAGGCGGUUAUAUAAGACAGAUGUGGAAUCCCCGGGCUCAACCUGGGAACUGCAUUUGUGACUGUAUAGCUAGAGUACGGCAGAGGGGGAUGGAAUUCCGCGUGUAGCAGUGAAAUGCGUAGAUAUGCGGAGGAACACCGAUGGCGAAGGCAAUCCCCUGGGCCUGUACUGACGCUCAUGCACGAAAGCGUGGGGAGCAAACAGGAUUAGAUACCCAUGUAGUCCCUGAGCGGGCUGGCAAGGCGCAU